rnacentral:rRNA from 1 species
GAUGAACGCUGGCGGCGUGCCUAAUACAUGCAAGUCGAGCGAACAGAUAAGGAGCUUGCUCCCUUGACGUUAGCGGCGGACGGGUGAGUAACACGUGGGUAACCUACCUAUAAGACUGGAAUAACUCCGGGAAACCGGGGCUAAUGCAGGAUAACAUGUUGAACCGCAUGGUUCUACAGUGAAAGGCGGCUUUGCUGUCACUUAUAGAUGGACCCGCGCCGUAUUAGCUAGUUGGUGAGGUAACGGCUCACCAAGGCAACGAUACGUAGCCGACCUGAGAGGGUGAUCGGCCACACUGGAACUGAGACACGGUCCAGACUCCUACGGGAGGCAGCAGUAGGGAAUCUUCCGCAAUGGGCGAAAGCCUGACGGAGCAACGCCGCGUGAGUGAUGAAGGUCUUCGGAUCGUAAAACUCUGUUAUUAGGGAAGAACAAAUGCGUAAGUAACUGUGCGCGUCUUGACGGUACCUAAUCAGAAAGCCACGGCUAACUACGU